rnacentral:lncRNA from 12 species
AGACUAGCAGUGGGUGUGAGUGCUGAUACUUUUGGGUUGUGUGGUGCCUCUGGCCCUUCAGAAGUCAGGGCAAGGCUGAAGGAAGGAAGCUGUAGGUGAGGGCAAGAUUGGCUGUUUCAAACUGCUUGGUACAGAACUAGAAGAACAGCUUUCCUCCUUUCUCUCCAUCACUGGAAAGAAUAUUAAGAUGAAGCUGCAGUAAGCUCUGUCUUUUGUGGGUUGCUGUGUGGUUGUUGUUUUUUCUGGCUUUUGAAUGUAUUUCCAAGUGGUGUAGUGAGGAGCAAGUUGCGGGGUUGCAUGAUUUCUGACUGAGUUAUCACAGAAAUGGGCAUCUUGUGUGCACAUGCUUCCUGGCAAAUCCAGAUGUGAUGUGGAAAUCCUAAGCGAGGACUUCCAGCCUUGACUACGCAUGAAACAGGCUUCUGAAAAUGGAACUGACCUUGGCAGAAUAGCAGCUGUGAAGUGAAGCAGAACUAAAAUACAGAGAAGCAGAAAAGCCAAGUGCAGUGGUACUUUCUUGGUCCUGCAUGCACCUCAUGCCCCUGCCUGCUGUGAACACUUGGUGUUGCACCUCAAUGGAGUUCAUUUCAGUCUUUGUUGGGUUUGAUUUUUGUGGUCAGUUCCUCUAAACAACUCCCCUUCUUUACUGGACACAUCCCUAGAGUGGGACCAGACUCACCCUUAGCCUGGAAGAAUACUCUGCCCCUCUGGAGAGGGGGUGAAGCCAAGGGUUAUGAACAAAGGAAAACAACCAAACCAUGGGCAUUAUGUCCUUGAUGCAUGCAGCACCACUUGUUUGCCAAGUUCCCAGCACUGAUGAAUCUAAACAAGAAAAUGCCUGUUCCUUCACUUCUCCAGCUCUCCUCCCACAACUCCCAUGCUUCCCCUGCUCUUAGCCUUGGUGUACUGAUGUCCUGCAUCCUUUUAAUGUCUGGAAUAGUUAGGAAUAAAAAUGCUGGAAAAGGGCACUCUGAAUUGGUGUCACCUGUCAUGGAUAAAACCCCAUAGUGAGCAAUCAGAGCAGAAGUGUGAAUGCUGGGAUCCUUUGAGUUCUGCAGGGGACUUAAUUGUCUUUUCCUCCUCUCUUUCAGCACAGGAAACAAUCCUUACACUCCCCCCACCUUUGCCAAAAGCUGUGGUGUUUGAGCAGCCAAAGCCAGAGGCUUCAGCACCAGGGGUCUGUGCUGGAGGGCUCCUGGUCCUGCCCGUGCUGUGGGUGAGAAGAACACAAACUCACAGCCAUUCAGGCCUGACAGUCCCCUGCAGUGAGAGCUCAGCACACAUCCACAGAGGCAAGUCCAACAUCUGAAAGAAAAAAAGAAAACCAGAAGAAAAAGGUGAUUUCUUUUGCUUCAAAGUUAUUUCAAGUUCUUAAAG